UGGGACCUGCGCCCGUACGCACCAGAGAACCGCAACAUCAAGACCUUUACAGGGCAUCAGCACAACUUUGAGAAGACCCUGUUGAAGUGCAGCUGGUCACCCGACAAUCGCAAGGUCACUGCUGGGAGUGCUGAUCGCAUGGUCUACAUCUGGGACACGACAUCGAGGCGGAUCCUGUACAAGCUUCCUGGGCACAAUGGUUCCGUUAAUGAGACCGCUUUCCAUCCCACCGAGCCCAUCAUCGGAUCCUGCAGCAGCGACAAGCAGAUCUAUCUCGGCGAGCUUUAGGAUGCUGUCACUUCCUCAGAUAGGAAUUCCUGUAAUAUUUGGGUAUGAAAGAGAACUGAAGACCGCAGGUACCGUGUUGCUCUGUCCUAGACAUUGAAUGCUGGAUUGCUGAUCGAAUUUUCAAACUGCUACUUGUUCAGUACCCUUACGGUUCUUGUUAAACGUGUUGCCAUUCUGCCUUUUAAUCACUAACUGGUGUGCUCUCUCUGAAAACCUGAUUCAUUUGCCUCUUCCCUGCUGAAUUACGUUGUCUAACUAGUGUAUCGAGUCAAAUGCUGUUAUGGUCUGUAAACUUAUCUUUUUCUUUUAGACAAGUUUCUAUCGGUGCAAUAUAACCAGAAAAAGGUUAAGUUAGCUGAAAUUCCCUUAAAAGGGCAAACCAUAUAUUCAUAAAUUUGGUUGAUCCUCUAAUAGCCAAUUAUAUUGGCAUGACUAAUAGAUUGUCAAGACUGUGUCUGAACAUAAUUUGUCCAUCUGUUGGACUGUUAUGAUCCGUCAGCUUCUAUUUCAUGAUCUGCCGUUUCAAUCUAUAUUCACGUGGCUCUGUUCAGAAGAGUAUGACUGCCAUGCAUUGUUCUUUUUAUUCAACCAUGGUCAUGGCCACGUGACAGCCAAUUUUUAGGUAACGCCUGUUAUUGAUGAAAAUAAUGGGUUGUAGACAGUGGUUUCGUUUCUUUCCUGUGUACAACUCAUAAUUAAUAGCAAGAUAAAGAUACUCGUGAAAAUUAUCUUUAAUUAACAAAUUGCUGAUUAUUUAAGUGUGUUUAUUUGGCUGAUGGUGGGGGUGAAAUUGUGUAUAUGUGAAAUUACAUAUUGACUUCUGAAAGAUCUUGAGAUGCCAUGUUUUGGCAAAAUGGAAUCAGUUUCAUGUAUACUUUUAAGACAAUUCUAGCUAGGGAGCGAACAUUCUGACAAAGUAAUCGCCGUUGGAUUUUAUGUUUGUGGUUGUGCGUGUGCUUGAACCUAGUGUAUGCGNNNNNNNNNNNNNNNNNNNNNNNNNNNNNNNNNNNNNNNNNNNNNNNNNNNNNNNNNNNNNNNNNNNNNNNNNNNNNNNNNNNNNNNNNNNNNNNNNNNNNNNNNNNNNNNNNNNNNNNNNNNNNNNNNNNNNNNNNNNNNNNNNNNNNNNNNNNNNNNNNNNNNNNNNNNNNNNNNNNNNNNNNNNNNNNNNNNNNNNNNNNNNNNNNNNNNNNNNNNNNNNNNNNNNNNNNNNNNNNNNNNNNNNNNNNNNNNNNNNNNNNNNNNNNNNNNNNNNNNNNNNNNNNNNNNNNNNNNNNNNNNNNNNNNNNNNNNNNNNNNNNNNNNNNNNNNNNNNNNNNNNNNNNNNNNNNNNNNNNNNNNNNNNNNNNNNNNNNNNNNNNNNNNNNNNNNNNNNNNNNNNNNNNNNNNNNNNNNNNNNNNNNNNNNNNNNNNNNNNNNNNNNNNNNNNNNNNNNNNNNNNNNNNNNNNNNNNNNNNNNNNNNNNNNNNNNNNNNNNNNNNNNNNNNNNNNNNNNNNNNNNNNNNNNNNNNNNNNNNNNNNNNNNNNNNNNNNNNNNNNNNNNNNNNNNNNNNNNNNUCAUUUAGUUAAGAGGAAUGUAUGUAUACCUCCAGCUAAAUCCCUCAAUGCUUACUAUUUGAAAGGAAAAAUAAAUGUACAUGUCAACCACCUUGUCGAUGAGUUAUUACUGUCUUUAUUUCUUAAUAGCUGUCAUCUGGUGUGCAUGCAUAUAUAUAGAUCUCAUCCACAAUGGUUUAUAGUUAUAUCAACUAGCUGCCCAGAAUAUCUCUCAUCCACCAUGGUUUAUUGUAGUGGCCAGGAGGCGGACCAAAGAUAGUUAUAUAUAUGGGCUAUUUACAUCUCAACUGAGUUAGCCGGUAUGGAUAUAGUAUUCCUCAGUACUCAAGACAAAUUGCCUAAUUGUAUCCUAUUUAAAGUGGCACACCAUCACAAAAUAUAUUAGACAUGGGAAGCAUUAGGAAUCUAUAAGCCUGCGGCUGUGCUGCCAUGCUCAGCGAGAACAGUGGUAAUUUGGGCCUGACUAGAUUGAUGAAGAAUCACGGCUUAUUGAUGUGAGGGGAAGCACAUGGCUUGUGUUCCAAGACAACACCCUAAUCAGAUAGGUCAGAAGGAUGCGUGUGACUGGUGCGUUCAGCUUCUCCAUAGUGGGGAGUAACUUAGACUAAUAACAUGCAUAUGUUACUAGUCUAUGUUACUACUACCUCCGUCCGAGUUUAUUAGACCCGUGAGCGGAGGGAGCACGUCCGUUUUUAAAGGGCCCGUUCAUCGAUUACUCGGCCAAAAGCUAAAUGGUACCAGCGACUUAAAUGGGAAGCGGCAAGACCAGCCAAUGCAUGCAGCUCCUUCUCUUCCCAUUAUCCAUGCAUGGGCCCAUACAGCCUGGAUCACAGCGUGCAUGCGCAUGCGUUCCCAACUCACGAGGAGUACUAAUUACUAAGGGCAGUUGAUUAUUGGCUGCCGCAUGCCUCGAAAAUCUCUGGCAGUUAAAGAGUUAAUUUCGUCUUGGUCUCUGCGUUUUGGCUCAGAGGCCUUUUAAACCCGGACGAAGGUAGUAUCUCUAUAGUGGGUAGUAACAUAUGUGUAGUGUCAUGCAUCACCUCAUUUAUUAUUUUGUAGAUUCAUUUUGCAUUGGGAACCGCUAUAUGAUGGUAACAUAUUAUGUUACUCUAUUUGCCUUUCUCUUCAUUAAUUACCUGACACAUCAUCUUUUUUGCUUAUGUGGCAUGUAUGUUACUACCUAUGUUACUCCCACUAUGACCAGCCUUCCAUUGACAUUUAGCUUAGGUUGCCACGCUCUCCCCUAUGCUGGCUGUCUUGGCCCCCCUUUUGCUUUUUGUUUGUAUGUCGCUGUUGUAAAUCUACACCAAAUUCAGGUGGGGAAUCUCUUCAUGGUGACCAUUAAAUUAUUUUUGCUACACAAGUUGUUAGUCAAGUUUUGAUCUCCAAUGCAUUGACCGGUUACUUUUCACAUGCAAACCAAGCAUAUGCUACAAUUACGAUCUGUAGUCACCUAAGCAGUUAUGCGGCUUAUGACGUUCAAUUCUUAAAAGACGAUAUCUGAUUUUUCAUAGCAUGAGCCUAGUGAGUAGUUUCAAAUAGUUCUCUUGCCCAACUUGUAUCAAAGCACCCAGUUCUGCAACUGAUCCAAGUUACCUUGUGAACUGAGAGCAUAGUAGCACCACCCUAGCACACAAACCACAUUAUCCAUCCUUUUAUUAUGAGCACCCUUUCUGGAUUAUUUUAUGGUCAAGGCCUAGCAUCUUCGAACUGGUUCUUUUUCCCUACCUUCCGGUUUCAUUCGUUAAAUUUGUGACCAUUCCAUGGCUUCAGUGUUAAUUACUAAUUGUGUGGAAUCUUUCAAAAAACUUCUUAACUUGCUGCUUCUUUGUUGAAUCAGUUUAGCAAAGUAUCGAUUCAACUGGUGGCACGAGUUGUCAGCUUCCUCUUAUGUUCGUUAGACCCUUUUUUUCCUUCGAAGAACUUGUUUGCGAAAGUUAUUGGGGUUUCAAUUUUGUCUCGUGGUGCUAAGCCAAGGAUGCCUAAUUUUAGUUGCCUCUGUUAGUCUCAAGCAGUCCAGUACAUUGCUGAACUCAUCUGACGAUGUCACUGCAUUUGACCAAACCUUGAAGAUUUCUAAUAAAGUGUUCCUUAUGAUGUUCUUCUCGUGCUGAUUCCCGCAACCGUAGUAGAACGCCAAAAAAUCUACCAGUGUGGAGCGACGCCAUGGCACCGCAAGCCCCUCAAUGGAGCGUGAUACGCCACUAGCGCCGGCCACGGGACAAUGAAAAUGUGCUAAUACCUUGACGGUACAUCGAACAAUCCAAGAAGCAGCAAUGGAGCUACACACGUGCAGUUCUCAUGGAACUGAAAAACCAUAUAAUCUACUAAGAACAUGCAUAUCCAAGCGCGUAUAAUUAGGCAAAAAUGAACAAAUUAUCAAUAUCUUCCCUUUUAUACCUCUUAGUUUAUUUAGCCACAUCUUAUAUAUUUAGCGGUUGUGUCAAGGAUUUUGAUCUUUGGCGUGGAGAUGCACCUCUCGCCCUAUAGUGCUCAAGCAUAUAUAAUCCCUUUGUACCUUCACCACCGCUGCUCACAUCAGAGUUUGUCUUCAUUUGGGCUGCCAUGCAAGACAUUCACCAUGACCCUUCGGCUUCAAAUUCCAUAUCCUAGACAGUCUCCACUAGCGAAACUUAUUAUGCUGAGUCAGCAAUACAAGUUGCAAUUUCACGGUGCAACUUCUCCCUUUAUGGCUCAAAAAUUAUGGGAGGCUCCGGUUGAGCCUAAAUGCAACGAAAGGCUCUCACUGUUGACCGUCGUGCUAUCCGCAUGUGGCCUCAUGAGGGGGUUUGCAUGUGCCUUACUGAACAUGAGACUACGAGCAUCUAGCAUGGGGUUGUUUCUUUCUUCGUGGUGUUUGGGGCAUUGUUGUGGGAUGGUGCUCACUUGUUACCAAACUGGCUCCUGAAUUUUCACCUCUUGAAGAUGGGUGGAACAUGCAUAUUUCUCACAUGGAGGUGACAAGAGAAAGGUUUUUAGCAAGGUCCUCAUCUAUGUUCUUCGGAAUUUUGGAAGGAGCGGAACCAUCUUUGUCCAUGCUUGAGGUUGCUUACUUGGUUAAGGAGGAUCUUGAUCAAAUGAGGUUGGCCAUGGCCGCUCCCGUAUAGCCCAUUUCAUUGUUUUGGCUUUUGCCUUUUCUUGUACAUAUUCUAUAACACUUCUAUUUUCCCCUCUCUUAGUGCACUAGUGCAGAACCGGGAUUUAGCACCGGUUCGUAAGGGCCUUUAGUGCCGGUUCUAUAACCAGCAGUAAAGGGUGGGGACUAAAGGUCCCCCCCCUUAGUACCGGUUCGGCACGAACCGCCACUAAAGUGCCACCACGUGGCAUGAGCCAGGGCCGGGUGUGAGGAGACCUUUAGUAGCGGUUGGUAACACCAACCGGUACUAAAUGUUUCGGGGGUUUUGGUUUUAUUUCUUCAUUUUUCCUUUAGUUUUGUGUUUUCAAUUUAAUUUAGAAAUUGUUUUUUACAUUAUAAUGAGUUGUUAAAUCAUUAGGUGAAAGUACCGCAGAUUAGUUUCAACUGGAUGCAUGCAUGGAUCCUAGCUAAGUGAUCAAAGUAUAUAUGCCAUCCAGUUGAAACUAAUCCGCGGUUUCUUUCAUAAAUGAUAUAAUAACUCAUCAUCAUCAUAUUAAUAUAAAAACUAUUGCAUCAUAUAUCAUCACCAACAAGUUAACGGUAUACUAGCUAGCUAAAAAUCAUUAUAGUCGUCAUUACCACUAUUUAAUCAUCAUAGUCAUUACCGCUAUCUAAUCACCACCAAUACUAGCUUAAAGAAGAAAUAUUCACUUGUACCAGAAGGAAAGAUAUCAUCGAGUUCAACAUGGUCAUGAUUAUAAGCGUUCAUAUAUAUAAGACAACAAAAGCAAAUCACUCUUUGAGAUUAAGUUCAGGACGAAGAACACGGACAUGAGAGGACAAGUACUAAGAGCAUGCUAAUCACUCCUGCUGCUCUCUCUCAGGUAAAAUAGCAUAGAACAUGUAUAGCUCUCCUGAUUCAUCAUAUUGGAGCAUGCAGAUGAACCUGUCUCCUAAUUGUGGGAUGCGCUUUUGAUUGCUGCCCCCUAGUACUUUUCUGUGAUCGUGGACAAUUUUGCUCCAGUCUUUCACUAUUAAGCAUUCCUCGCUAUUAGAAAGCCUGAAUGCACUAAAGUGCAUUGUAGGAUGUCUUGGUCGUAAGCUAACCAUUCUCAUGCGACCUUUAGUCUCGAUCCACUGAGGCACAACAUUCACCGGGAGUCCCUGUUGAAGAACAUCGUAUAGUAACAUACUUAGCAAUGAAGUUUAGUGUAAAAAAUAGUAUAUGCAAAAGAUGCACUGAAGAAAAAUAGUAAAAAAUCUUACCAUCUUUUCUAAAUAGAUGUGACUGUAGUUCAAUACGAUCACUAUUGGUCGCACAUUUUGAGCACUAAGAUUUUCAAAUUCAGGAAAAUAAUUUCUCUUGACAACAUCAAAAUCCUCAAGCCAUGAAACAUAAUGACUUAUCUCCUCGCAGUUUAGUUCAGCCCCGGGACAAUGGACUAUCCUGUCUACCAAGUGCUGGACAUGUUUGUUUGAAUGGAAAUAAGCUAUCAAUAGAAAUUAGUUGUCAACUAAUUUUGGAAAAAAAUAUCAAAGACAUAAAUAUGGUUGAGAAACUCACAUAAUGGUAGAACUGGAGGCGUCUGCACAUUGACCCAAAUGUCUCUAUUACCUCUAAUAUCAUCUCCAGGACGAAUAUCAAAGGUGAUAAACAUAUCAGGCUCAAAUGCAUAAGACUUGCAUAGUGCUUGCCAAGUUUUGCAUUCAAAAUGGGUGUAGGUGUCUUGAUUGUAUAAUUUGACAUUGAAGGUAUAACCAUGCUCGGUCUUCAAGUAAACUCUCUUUACCUCCAUAAUUUUGUUAGGACUGAAACCUAUCUUAUCCAAGAAAAAAAUUCUUGCAUGGCAGAGGAUACGCUAGUAGAAUAGUGAAAAUUUAAAAUAAUAAGUUGAAGCAAAUGAAGCAUAAGUCAUGCUUAAUUACAAAAAAGAUUUGUCGUUGUGACUUACUAUAUCCACUUUGAAUGUCUCAUUCAGCUUGAUGCUGAAGUGCCUAUCAUCAACUAGGAAAUUUUUGUCGCACAGGCCGCGUUGAUCUUCGCAGUUUUCGCACAUAAUGAAAUCAUUUUCGUCGUCAGACGACAUUUUCUAUGUUCAUAGGUGAAACAUUAAACACAUAAUAGUUAUAUUAAUUCAACUAAUUAAACUAGUUCUAUUAAUUCAACUAGCUAGUUCAACUAAUUAAUUUAACUAAGCACUUACUAAAAAUAUAUCUAAAUAAAGUAGCUCAACUAAUUCAACUAAUUCAAUUAACUAGUUCAACUAAUUCAACUAAUUCAACUAAACUAGUUCUAUUAAUUUUCUUACUAAAAAUAAAGUAGCUAGUUCUAUAUAUUAAAAUUUUAAUUAGAUGACCAAAUCUCAGAUACCUAAAUUUAAUAUAUAUAUAAUUCAUCUAACAUUAAUAUAAAUUCAUCUAUAACUAAAAGUAUAAAAAACCAAUUCAUCUAACAUUAUCUAAUUCAUAUAUAAUCUAACAUUUAUAUAAUCUAACAUUUGACAUUAAACAUUUGUGUGUGUGUGUGUGUGUNNNNNNNNNNNNNNNNNNNNNNNNNNNNNNNNNNNNNNNNNNNNNNNNNNNNNNNNNNNNNNNNNNNNNNNNNNNNNNNNNNNNNNNNNNNNNNNNNNNNNNNNNNNNNNNNNNNNNNNNNNNNNNNNNNNNNNNNNNNNNNNNNNNNNNNNNNNNNNNNNNNNNNNNNNNNNNNNNNNNNNNNNNNNNNNNNNNNNNNNNNNNNNNNNNNNNNNNNNNNNNNNNNNNNNNNNNNNNNNNNNNNNNNNNNNNNNNNNNNNNNNNNNNNNNNNNNNNNNNNNNNNNNNNNNNNNNNNNNNNNNNNNNNNNNNNNNNNNNNNNNNNNNNNNNNNNNNNNNNNNNNNNNNNNNNNNNNNNNNNNNNNNNNNNNNNNNNNNNNNNNNNNNNNNNNNNNNNNNNNNNNNNNNNNNNNNNNNNNNNNNNNNNNNNNNNGCCGACGGGACGCGCGCGACGGGGGCGGCGAUGGGGCAGCGACGGUGCCGGGGGACGGCAAUGGGGGCGGUGCACAGACGGGGGCGGCGACAACGGCGACGGGGGCGGUGAGGGGGGCGGCGCGGGGACGGGCUAGACGAACAGAUGAACUGAUGAUAACUGAAAUUUUCGGAAGUGUUGCUUAUAUAGGGAGGCCUUUAGUACCGGUUGGAGCCAGGAACUGGUACUAAAGGUCAAAUUUGGCCAGGCCAAGCGGCGGGAAGUGACCCCUUUAGUACCGGUUCGUGGCACCAACCGGUACUAAAGAACCGCCCUUUAGUACCGGUUGGAGCCAAGAACCGGUACUAAAGGGGGUGCGCUCCUGAAAGUGCGUUAUAUCGACGAGGGGGGGGGGUGAAUAGGCGAUUUUUAUGAAUUCUUCGAUGAGGAAUUUGCUGGUGAGGAAAUUCCUCAAUAAAGAAAUACUUGCAGAGGAAUAAGUACUCAAAAGUAAACAUAGCAGAAUACACACAUAGUCAUCAUGAUGAAAUGAAGACCAGCACAGAGUACAGAAAGCGUAAGCACAUGAUAACACAAGAUGAAGACUAACAGACUGAAGAAAUUAAACUGAGGAAAUUGAGAAAGUCUUCAGACAAAGUCUUCAAAUAGAUAUGAACAAGCACACAACAACAGUAAUGAGGAAAUGGAAGAGUUGAGGAAAUAGAAACAGUAAGCUUGGUGAAGACAAUGAUUUGGUAGACCAGUUCCAACUGCUGUCUCAAUUGUACAUCUGGUUGGAGUGGCUGAGUAUUUAAACUCGAGGACACACAGUCCUGAACUCACAGUCCUCACCGUAUUCUCCUUGAGCUAAAGUCACACAAACCUCACUCAAUCACUCGUGGUAAGUCUUCAGGUGACUUCCGGACCUUCACAAACUUGGUCACUCGGCGAUCCACAAUUCCUCUUGGAUGCUCUAGAUCUUGAUGCCUAACCGUCUGGAAGAAGCACAAUCUUCAAAGGUAACAAGCGUCGGAUCCACGCAGGAUCAAUCUCUUCAGUGAUGCUCAAUCACUUUAGAGUUUUGAAGGUUUGGGUUUGGGUUUUUCUGACUUGAUGAUUUUCGCUCAAAGUCCUCAGAGGAUGGGAUGCUCUCAAAUGACAAGUGUCAGUUUCUCUCGGAGCAGCCAGCCAACUAGUGGUUGUAGGGGGGCGACUAUUUAUAGCCUAGGGAGCAGCUCAACAUGAUAAGACAUAAAUGACCUUGUCUGAUAUGACCAUUAGGUGGGUAGAUAUUUUAGGACAACUGGCGCGUAGCACAGCAACGGUCGGAAUUUUGAGUCUUAAAUUCCUCAGGGCUAUCAUGUUCCUCACUGUGUAGGCAAUCCGCACUGGCGAAUUCCUAACUCCUCAGUCAGGACAAAUUCCUCAGAGACUAGAAGAACUUCGUCUCUGUCACUGAAGAAUAUGACUGAACUGUAUGAGAUUUCUAGUGGCUUCACUCGAAGGGAUUGGUAGGUGUAGGAUUUUGAGUUGAGCAUCACAUGGAAAUUUUUCCUUAGUAUUUCCUCGACCCCUUUAACAUUACGGUGUUUCCUAUGACUCAAGAAAGAGAAAAUGAAACUAUAAAAACAAAAGUCUUCACGCUUCAUGUUCCUCGAAUGAUUGCCAAGUCUUCAAGGUCACACCAAUUUCUUCACUUUCAAAGUCUUCAGAAAGUCUUCAAAAAUCCAAAGUCUUCAGUUGAAGAACUUCAUUUUUAGGGGUCGACUUUCUCUAUAAAUAUCAAACUCCUCAUAGACUUAUAGACCUGUGUACACUCGCAAACGCAUCAGUCCCUUAACCUAUAAGUCUUCAAUACACCAAAAUCACUAAGGGGCACUAGAUGCACUUACAAUCUCCCCCUUUUUGGUGAUUGAUGACAAUAUAGGUUAAGUUUUCAACGGGGAUAAAUAUAUGAAGUGUAAGUAUUGAUGUUGAGGAAUUUGAUUGCAAGAUAUAGAAGAACUCCCCCUGAAGAUGUGCAUAGUGAGGAAUUUGCUUUUAAAGCAUUGCACACUUGACGAGUAUAAUCAUGGAGAUCUCCCCCUAUAUCUUGUAAUUCAUACACGCAUUUGACAUAUAAUAUGAAGAAUUUGAAAUGCAUGAUGAAAUAUGGUGACUGAUGUAAUUCAGCAUGCGUGCAUUGACAUUAAUGAGGAAUAAGCAUGCAAAAGAACACAUCAAAAGUAUCAGGCCACCAUAGAGUUUAAGAUUACAACUCGAUCCAGCAAAGUUAUCAAAAAAAAGAGAGUUGUAACUUAGAAAAAAACGCCCAUAUAAGAUAGACCCGCUUGAAGACUAACUCAAAUUUCUCCCCCUUUGUCAUCGAAUGACCAAAAGGGUCGAAAAUGUGGACUAACGCCCCUGAAGAAUAUCAUGAUGAUGGAGGAGCGCCUGCGUUGUCAGGGUCUUGAGUCGAUGUAGGGCAUGCUGUAGUGUCGUCCAAGUCUUCAUACUCGUCUGUGGCGUGUGAUGAAGAAUAUGAACUGGCGACCAAGGGAGGAACCUUGACCUUCUUGAGUUUCUUCGGUGGAGGAGCAGACGAGUCAAAAUCUUCUUUGAAGCCCAUGUUCUUCAAAUCUUCUUCACCAUAGAGAUGAUGUAGAAUAGCCCAGGUGCGAUCGAAGACUUCAUGGAGAUAGUAAUGGUUUUUCUUCACAGCAUUAUGAGUAGAGGUCAUGUUGUGAAGAAUAGAACCAAACUGUCGCUUAACCCAUUUGUGGUUUCGAUCCACCUUCUGGUGAAAACUUAGAAGCAGCUCACGGUCAGUCAUCACACGAGGAGCAGUAGCUUGAGGACUUGACUUGGGAGCAUUGGCAACAAAAUCAUGAGUGGCAGAGUCAUCAUUGGUGGAAUAAGAUGCAGCUUUGCGGAAUUGACCAUCCAAUGGACGAAUGCCUUCAUCCAUAAUGGCUGGUGACUUGCCCUUCUCAUCAGCUAAGGAAUAUGUAUGCUUGAGGACUUCAAUCGGGGGCAAUUAGCUGAGGUGAUUCUAAAAGUCAGCCUUGUAAUUAAGUGAAGACCUUGUUCUGAGGAAUCUCAUGAUCCACGGUGCGUAAGGCUUCAGCUCAAAUGGUGAAAGUGCAACAUUCGCCAGAGUCCUCAUGAAGAAAUCAUGAUAAUUUAUGGGUAUGCCAUGCAUUAUGUUGAAUAGCAUAUUCUUCAUCAUCCCAAUAAUUUCCUCAUCGGAUGAGUCAUGGCCUUUGAUAGGACUCAUGGUCUUCGUCAGAAUGCGAUAGAUGGUUCUUGGCACAUAGAGCAAUUCCUUCAUGAGGAAUUUUGUCCUAGGAGCUUGACCAGGCUUCAGAGGCUUCAUAAGCACUUGCAUAUAGUCAGCAGGGAGUUCAGGCUCAUCAUACAGAUAACGAGCACCUUCAGGUGGAGGACUAAUUGGCAGGGCACGAAGCAAUUCAGAGGCUGGUGCCUUGUAGUGAGUGUUUUCGGUCAUCCAGUCCAACACCCAAGAGUUGAUGUCAUCAACAUCACCUGUGAUAUGCAGCGUUCCGUAGAACUGAAGAAUGAGCUCUUCAUUCCAGUCAACUACGUCUGAGCAAAAGUUGAGCAAGCCUGCAUCAUGAAGCAUAAUGAGGACUUGAGAGAAGCAAGGCAUUGAUUCCAUGUCCACGUGAGGAAUAUGCUCGUGGUCGAAGACUUUGUCCUUGUUGUAAAGAAGUGAAGAAUAGAAGUUGGCCUGGCUGGCAGUCCAGAAACGCUUCCUUCUAAGACAAGCAUUGUCAUAUGGGUUGAAUUCAGUGAAGAACACAUGCUCGCCGAAGAAAUCAACAUCCUUGAAUUUUUGCUUCUUUGAGAAGGGAUCCUUUGGCUUGGGCUGAGGAGUAUCAGUCAAUUGCAUCACCACCUUAGGAAUCACAAUCUCAGGUUCCUCACGCUGAGGAAUUUCAGGCUCUUCUUCAGCUGCAGCCUGGGUCAUCAAUUCUUCAUUUACAAUUUCUUCAGCACUAGUGGCUGGAAUUUCUUCAUGGACAAACGGUGUUGCAUGAGGUUCUUCAGAUCCCAUUUGCACUUCAGUAGCAGCAGGAGACUGAGGAAUUGCUUGAAGUGGAGUGAACAUCGGAGAGUUGGGGUGCUGACUUUCCCAAAAGUCAUCAUUCAGCACAGGUGUGGUACAACCAAUGUCCACAUCCUCAUCUUCCAUUUCUUCAACACCUGCCUCUUCAGCAGUGAACCGAGGCAUAAGUGAGGAAACAACUGGGGUUGAAGGGACUUCGUCCACUUCAAUUUCUUCAUCCAACUGCUCUGACGUAGCAGCAGAAGGAUUCUCUUCAUCGGAUUCAUUGGGAAUCACAUAAUCUUCACCAAAAGGAACAAGGUCUUUUGAUGGUAUGAAAGAGACAGGAACGACAUCAAUUGGGUUGUCAUUUGAGCUAGUCAGAGGCUUCAUCUUCUUUGGAGCUGAAGAAUUUGAUGAAGUUGAUGCCUUCAUUUUCUUCAUAGCUGCACGCUCUGCAGGCUUGGUCUUCUUCGCAUCUGAUGCAGAUGGAAUGAUCGGAGUGGGUGUAGGCGCAGGAGGUGCAGAGGACUUUGGUUCAGUUUCUUCAGGCGCAACUUAUGCAGUUACCCUGAUUUCUUCAUUUUCUUCAGGUGCACCGCUAGUGGAUGCCCUGGCAAUUUCUUUAAUGGUUGGAAUGCAGUCAUCAGCCCUGGUACUCUCAUUUUCUUCAGCAGCCUGAUUGUCAUCAGCGGUGCUGGCAUGUUCUUCAGUAGGCUGAGCAGAUGCUUCAGGCUGAGGAACUUCAAUGUGGACAGGAACAAUAGCACUUGAAGUGAGUUUCUUCGUCAAAUUGACGAACCAGACCUUGGCACCCUUCCAAUCAGCAUAGUAGCGAUUGAAUCCAUCACUCAGUUGCUUGAUUUUAGUUUGCAACGCAAUGAGUUGGUUAGGUGUUAGAGUGAUGACAUUUUCCUUGAGAUAGCACUGCUUUUUGUACUACGCUUUCUUCAACCUUCUGCAUUCUUCAAAUUUCCAAUUUUCUUCCUCAAUGAAGGCAGUCAGAACAUGACUUUGGCCAGGAGUGAGGUUCAUCUCUGGCAAUGCCGUGUUAGGGUCCUUGUGCCAUAGGUCAAUGAAGUCGAGGAUCAACUUGGGAUCCAAUAGCAGUGGCACAGUGCUGCCUUUGGCUCUUGCGGCCCUGGCUUGCCUGUCUCUGAUGAUUUCGGCAAGUUCUUCAUCAUCAUCCUCAUCGUCAUCAGAGGGAACUUGGAAGGCGACCUGCUUCUUGUGAGGACUUGGUCGAAGGCCUCGUCCAGCAGUGGCCUUUUUCUUCAGUAGAGAGGGACCAGCUGAGGAAUUUGGUGCAGCAGUGGAGCCUGCAGAUGCUCCUGAGGCAUUUGAGAUGCCGGUUGUCCUUUGACACGUGGCGAGAUGCACAGGUGCAGAGGAUUUGGUUGGAGCAGCUGAAGAUUUUGUCGGAGGAGCUGAGGACUUUGAAGGAGGAGGAGCAGUCUGAGGAAUUGGCCGUGGGGGCUUUGAAGAAUCUGGUCUUGAGGCCUCAGCAGUGGUGGCAGCAGCAGCAGAGUCUUCAUUAAAUUUCCUCACUGCUUCCUUUGCUUGUUUGGCCAGUUUGGCCUUGCGCCUUGCCCAUUCAUCAGGAUAAUCCUCACCACACUUGAGGCUGGUGGGAUCUGCCAAUUGGCCAGGUGCCAAUGGAGGUCUUGGACAUGGAGGGUUGAGUGCGAAUUUCUUCAUGUACUUGGGAGUAACAUACCUGUACUCCCUCCAUUCCCGUGCCCAUCUCCUUUCAAUCUUUUGAAUGCGCCCCUUGCGCUGGUUUCAGUCCUCCUCAGGGGGUGUGUAGUACCCAGCAUAAAUGGCCUCAGGGAUUUCAAAAGCAGUAUUGACCUCAGGCCUCUUUCUUCCCUUUUGUGGCUUCUUGUCAGCCAUUUUCUUCAGCUGAGGAAUAUGAACAACUGAAGUUUCUGAAGAGGUGUGCAACUUUUCUUCGAGGAACGCUGCAAAUGAGUUAAGUUGAUGAGAACCUAGAGAUUCAGCAGUGGACAUGAGUACAUGUGAACAGAGUAUAGUUGCGAGGAAUUUGGAGAGGUCAUAUGCGUUCUCAGAAGAUUUUCAAAAAGAAAAGAUUUGAGGAAUUUGACCAGAUGAGUCUUGAAGAAUUUCACUAAGCGUUCUUAAUCUUAGGUUCCAGAGUUGUACAUAUUGAAAAUCCACACAAUUGAGGAAUCUUGAAGAAAAUCAUCGCUUAGAGAAACGAAUCAAGAGCAGAUAACAUGUGAGGUGUUUAUGUGUGUGAAGAGUUGAAGAAUAAACACCUUUGAAGAUUUUCGAGAAAACAUAUGAAUCAAAGAGGGUAGUAAAAGUAAUUUUUAAUUACCCGAGAUGAAGAACACGAUGAACUGAGAAGUGUAGAUGUGAAGUUCGUCAGUUCAGAUCUUCCACGCCCUAAGUCGGCAGAGAAAGACGGUUACAGCGGAGGCGGAGUGAAGAAAUCCGCAACCAGCGCGAGUACAGCGGCGACGAGGUCGGCGCAGUGAAGCUCUUCCUCACCGGCGACAAUGAAGUAGCAGCGGCGCUAGGGUUUGGGAAGCUCGAGUGGGAGUGAGAGCGAGCGGAGUAAAAGUGAAGUGAGGAAGAGGAAGGGGUGUUUAUAGUGGAAGUGAAAAACUGUAUGCCCGAGAAUUUUGGAUGAACGUGCCCCUGGCCCUUCUCAUUCGCUUGACAUGUGUCAACCACGUACUGAGAGGUGGCGAUCGUGUAGGAUCGUGGGUGAAUAGAUAAGUAUUGUCGUGGGAUGCAGAAUGGUUUGAGCGGCAAAGCCGAAAAUUCAGAUCAGAUAUAUUAAAACUUCCGUUUGCAAUUUUUUAGCUGUCAAGGACACAGUGAAGAUUUCGAAUGAGUUUCAAAUAGAAUGCACAUGAAGAAUUUGUGAAUAUACUAGGUUGAGUUUAGCAUAGAGGGGGAAGGGUCCGAUCACAUUCACUUAGCAGAAGAAAUCAACUUGAAGAAUUAGCAAUAAGUGAAUGCUGUAGAGGACAUAAAACUCAUAUAUAUGUAUAUUCAAAUGAAGAACAACACCGGAAAGAGUGAACACAAUGCGAAGUUGAAGAAUUUGAAAAAGUGAGGAAUUUCAAAAACGAAGAAAAACUCAAAUUGAAGAUUUUCAACUUCGGUUGGUGGCGUGACCCAUUGUAUAAGAAAGCUGAUUUCAGACACCGCGUACAAUUGUCGUAGGGCUCUGAGAAUCAAUUUCUUCAUUAAUUUCUUCACACUUAGAGGUUUAGUCUUCAUUGAUUGAAGAAAAAACGUUACUUCGUGUGUUGCACAUCUAAGUCAUCAAGUCAGCAUAAGUGUUAGGAUGUGUGUCCAUUUCAGAGAACAUUCGAAGAUUCUAGGAUAUUUAGCUCACACCGCAACUUGCUAAAUCUCUUCUCAUCCAAGGGCUUAGUGAAGAUAUCGGCCAGCUGAUCUUCAGUGGUUGCAUGGUCGAUGGAGAUAUCGCCCUUCAACACAUGAUCACGAAGAAAAUGAUGACGAAUCUGGAUGUGCUUGGUCUUUGAGUGCUGAACUGGGUUACGAGCAAUCUUGAUAGCAUUCUUUACGUUAAUGCCAUAGUCCUUGAGUGUUUGCUUCAUCCAAAGCAAUUGAGCACAGCACGAUCCAGCAGCAAUGUACUCACCUUCUAUAGUUGAGAGUGAUACGCAGUUCUGUUUCUUCGAGGACCAACAGAACAAAGAACGUCCGAGGAAACGGCAUGUGCCUGACGUUGACUUGCGGUCCACGCGAUUGCCAGCAUAGUCAGAGUCUGAAUAUCCAAUGAGAUCAAAUGAAGAGCCCUUGGGAUACCAUAAUCCAAGUGUUGGUGUGUGAGCUAGAUAUCGAGGAAUAUGCUUCACAGCCUUAUGGUGUGAUUCCUUCGGUGUAGCUUGAAAUCGGGCACACAUGCAAACAGUAAGCAUAAUAUCCGGACUAGAUGCACAUAGGUACAAUAAAGAUCCAAUCAUGGAGCGGUAUAUCUUUUGAUCGAAGUCUUUACCAUUUUCAUCAGUGCAUAGAUGGCCAUUUGUGGGCAUUGGAAUUUUGACCCCUUUGCAAUCUUACAUGCCGAAUUUCCUCAAUACGUCCUUGAGGUAUUUCUCCUGAGAUAUAAAUAUCCCAUUGCGCUGUUGACGAAUUUGAAGACCUAAAAGGAAUUUCAACUCUCCCAUCAUAGACAUUUGAUAUUCUUCACUCAUCAUAUAGGCAAAUUCAUCACUAUAACGUUGAUCAGUACAGCCAAAGAUAAUAUCAUAAACAUAUAUUUGGCACACAAACAAUUCAUCAUCAUAAGACUUAGUGAAAAGAGUUGGGUCGAGUGAACCGGGUUUGAAGCCUUUCUUCAUGAGGAAUUCCUUCAAAGUAUCAUACCACGCCCGAGGGGCUUGCUUGAGGCCAUACAGAGCCUGGUUGAGUCUGAAGACUUUAUCAGGAUUCUUUGGAUCUUUAAAACCUGGGGGUUGAGCAACAUAUACCUCUUCCUCAAGCUUACCAUUGAGGAAAACACUUUUCACAUCCAUUUGAUAUAAGGUGAUAUUAUAAUGGUUAGCAUAAGCAAGUAAUAUGCGAAUAGCCUCGAGUCUAGCAACAGGUGCAAAAGUUUCAUCGAAAUCAAUUCCUUCAACCUGUGUAUCCUUUACAAGCCAUGCCUUAUUCCUCACCACAAGGCCAUUUUCAUCUUGCUUGUUGCGGUAGAUCCAAUUUGUGCCAAUAAUGUUGUGCUUGCGAGGAAUUGUACGUUUGACCAGUUCCCAGACAUUGUUGAGCUCAAACUGAUGUAAUUCUUUUUGCAUAGCUUGAAUCCACUCAGGCUCCAGAAAUGCUUCAUCUACCUUAGUGGGCUCUGUGAUAGAGACAAAAGCAAAGUGCCCACAAAAGUUAGAUAAAUGAGAAGAUUUUGAGCGUGUGAGAGGACAUGAUGCUUCAAUGUCAUCAAUGAUCUUCUCGAUUUGCACUUCGUUUGCAAUACGAGGAUGAGCGGGUUGUCUUCGAGGAAUUUGAUCCGCAUUCUCUUCAGGAGCAUUUUCCUCAGCACCGUUUUUUUCAGGUGCGCCAGCUCGACGUUUAUCAUGUUCUGGAAUGAAUUCUUCAGCAGAUUCUUCGGUGGGAAUGACAUCCUCAGUAGCCUUGAACUUGAUAGAUUUCUCAGGUGCUGGUUCGUCUAACACAGAAGGUAGGUGCUCUCUUUGCGAGCCAUCAAUCUCAUCGAACUGCACAUCUACAGUUUCAACAACUUUGUGAAGAACGCUGUUGAAGACUCUUUAGGUGUGCGAGUCCUUUCCAUAACCAAGCAUAAAACCCUCAUGUGCUUUCGGUGCAAAUUUAGAAUUGUGAUGAGGAUCUCUAAUCCAGCAUUUAGCACCAAAGACUUUGAAGUAACUCACAUGGGGUUUCUUGUCAGUGAGGAGUUCAUAGGCAGUCUUCUUGAAGAAUUUGUGAAGAUAUACCCUGUUGAUGAUGUGGCAUGCAAUAUCAAUGGCCUCAAUCCAGAAGCGACGAGGUGUCUUGUAUUCAUCAAGCAUAAUGCGAGCCAUUUCAACAAGGGUCCUGUUCCUGCGCUCCACGACGCCAUUUUGAUAAGGAGUAUAAGGAGCAGAUAACUCAUGAGUAAUACCAAGUUCAUCAAGAUAGCCAUCAAGACCGGAAUUCUUGAACUCGGUCCCAUUGUCACUUCUGAUGUGCUUGAUCUUCACACCAAAGUUGGUUGAAGCCCUCGAGGAAAAUAGUUUGAAGACUUCCUGCACCUCAUGUUUGUAAGUGACAAUGUGCACCCAUGUGUAACGAGAAUAAUCAUCAACAAUAGCAAAGCCAUAUAGAGAUGCAUCAUUUAGAAUUACAGAAUAAUGAUUGGGACCAAAAAGAUCGAUGUGAAGCAAUUCAAAUGGUCGAGUGGUAGUCAUGAUAGUCUUCACUAGAUGCUUGGCCUUAGUCAUCUUUCCUGCUUCACAGGCUCCGCAUAAGUGAUCCUUGAGGAAUUUGACAUUCUCAAUGCCAAUGACAUGCUUCUUCUUCGCAAGCGUGUGCAAAUUCCUCAUGCCAGCAGGACCAAGUCGUCGAUGCCAUAGCCAGCCUUCUGAGGCUUUUGCAAGUAAGCAUACAGCUGGUUGUGGUCCUAUAGAGAAAUCAAUGAUAUACAAGUCUCCUCUCCUAAAGCCUUCGAAGACUUUGGAAUGGUCAGCUUCCAUGAUCACAACACAAUGAUAUUUUCCAAAGACAACAACCAUAUCAAGAUCACAAAGCAUUGAGACAGACAUGAGAUUGUAUCCUAAGGAUUCGACAAGCAUGACUUUGUCCAUGUGUCUAUCCUUUGAGAUCGCAACCUUACCUAGACCCAAUACCUGACUUUUGCCUUUGUGAGCGAAGAUGAUAUGCUUAAUGCGACAGUGAUAAGGGAGCAUCCAUCAAUAGAUUCUUGUCACCAGUCAUGUGAUUCGUACAUCCACUAUCGAGGAUCCACUCAUUGGCUUUGGGUUGAUCAUCCUGCAGAUGAAUUAGUGCAACUUACGAACUCAUAUACUUCAUCAGUGAAGAAUAUGACAUCAAUACCAUCAGAUCAAUUUCAUCAAGCAAUAGCACAGAUAAAUCAGUAUUUGAGGACGUGAGAAAUGAAAAUUCAUUUCUUCAUGAUUAGCAUGCAUCCUUUCAGGCACUGUUCAGGUCUCCAGCAAAUUCUUCAUACGUUUUGAGCACGUCUGGAGACCUGACCCUGCAUAAAAGAUUAGUUCUUUUUCUUUACCACCCACAUCUGAAGGGGUGGCAAAGAAUUCAUCACUCUGCGAGCACCAUAUGAGAAAGGUGGCAUAGAAGCUAGUCCGCUUCGUUUCACAUGAGAGGGGUUAGGGUAAGCAUAUGAAUAAGUAGAGAAAUUCUUCGAGGGCUUAUGAACAUAAUGAUUUGAAGAAUAAUGCUCAUAUUCAUAGCCCUUAGCUCUACCCUGCGAAACAGAGGGGUUAGCACGAUGAUGAUCAUGUGAGGAUUUUGAUCCAGUUGAGGAAUUUGAUCCAUAUGAAGAAUUUGGUCCAUAUGAAGAAUUUGAUCUGGAGUUCCUAUUCUUCACAGGUGGUGUCAUGAAGACAUUCACCUGAAGACUUUCAAGGCAACUUUUGGGAACCCGGAUUUUCUUCAUAGGGGAAUCAUUCCUGCAGUUAGUGCCAACAUAUUUAGCAAAUAAUUCACCAUUCUGAUUUUGAAUAGUUUAUAGUUGGAGUCAAAUGACUCAUCAGAAGAAUGAGGAGAUUCACAUGUAAAGCCAGAUAAAUUGGAUGGAUCAACUGGAGGUCCCUUUGCAGCAACCUAUGAGGUUUUGGGGUACUGCUCAGGCUUCCAAUAUGUUCCAUCAGCAUUGAGUUUCCUCUCAAAGGCAAUACCCACUUUCCUAGGGUUCCUGUUGAGGAUCUGCUUUUUAAGCACAUCACAAAGAGUCUGAUGUCCUUUGAGGCUUUUGUACAUGCCCGUCAUGUACAAUUCCUUCAGCCCUGCAUCAUCAGUGAUACUAGCAAUAUCCUCAGAUGAGGAAUUAGUGAUAGCAAAGACAGAUGAAGAAUUUGUAGCAUUAUAAGAAUUUGAACAUUCAGGUGAAGAAUUAGCAAAUUCAUGUUCAAUGCACUUCAAACAUGGAGGAACAAAUUCUUCCUGAGUAGCGCUGAUUUGUUGAGCAAGUAAUGAAUCACGAUCCUUCUGAAGAUCUUCAUAACUCACUCUUAGCUUCUCAAGAUCUUGCUUUCUUUGAAGAAAUUCAUAAGAAAUCUUCUUUUGAUCAGAUAAGAGAGUGUUAUGAUGACCUUGAAGGUUGUCAAACUUGGACUGAAGUCUCUGAAGAUUUUCAGUCAAGGUUUUAGUGCGGUCCAUUUCUUCACCCAACAUAUCAUCACUUUUAUAUGGCAUGUUUUGAACCUUUUCAAAAGCCUUUUGUUGUUUCACAGCAAUCUUAGCAAGUUUAGAGUAGCUGGGCUUGAGAUUUUCAUCAGAUUCAUCCUCACUAGAUUCAGAGGAGGCGUAUUUAGUUACCUUGGCACCCUUUGUCAUGAAGCAAUAGGUGGGAGCGUAGUCAUCAUUGCCUUCACCAGCCUUGUUGGUGAAGCCAUUUUCUUUAGAGUUGAAGAUAGACUUGCUGACGAAUGCAGUAGCGAGAGCUAGGCUCACCACACCAAACUUGGACUCCUCAGAUGCCUCCUCAUCCUCAUGUUCCUCAGAUUCAGCCUCAGAGUCCAUUUCCUUGCCAAUGAAUGCCCGAGCCUUCUUAGAGCUGCUCUUCUUGUGAGAUGAAGACAUCGAGGAUUUUGAUGAUGAAGACUUUGAAGAUUUCUUCUUCUUCUUGGCAUCAUCAGAACUGUAAUCCUUGUAUUUCUUCUUCUUUAAUCCCUUAUCCACUGAGGACAAUCUUGAAUGUAGUGACCAGGUUUCUUGCAUUUGUGUCAUAGCCUCUUCUUGUAGUCAUUGGAUGAGGAAUCAUUACUCCUUGAGGAUUUUCCAAAGCGACCAUGUCUUGAGAACUUCUGAAAUUUCUUCAUGAGAAGUGCUAGUUCCUGGCUCAGUUCUUCAGGAUCACCAAGGCUGCUAGUAGAGUCCUCUUCUUCAGACUCAGAGACUGCCUUGGCCUUCAGAGCAUGUGGUUUGACAUAGCUCGAACCAUAGAGAUCUCUCUUCUCAGCAAGCUGGAACUCAUGAGUGUUUAGCCUUUCGAGGAUAUCAGCAGGAUCAAGUGACUUGUAAUCAGCAUGCUCUUGAAUCAUCAGUGCCAGAGUGUCAAAUGAAGAAUCGAGCGAUCUCAGCAAUUUCUUCACCACCUCAUGGUCGGUGAUGUCAGUGGCGCCAAGCUCUUGAAUCUCAUUUGAGAUAUCAGUGAGGCGAUCGAAGGUUUGCUGAACAUUUUCAUUGUCGAGUCUUUUGAAGCGGUUGAAGAGAUUGCGAAGAACGUCAACACGAGAGUCACGUUGAGUUGAGACUCCUUCAUUUACUUUGGAGAGCCUACCCCAGAUAGGCUUAGCAGUUUCCAAAGCACUCACUCUACCAUCUUGCCCUUUGCUCAGAUGGCCACAUAUGAUGUUCUUCACUUGAGAAUCGAGUUGCUUGAAUCUCUUCACAUCAGCAGCAUUCAGGGAAGGUGUGACUGAGGGAGCACCAUUUUCCACAACAUACCAGAGAUCGUUAUCAAUUGCCUCAAGAUGCAUUCACAUCUUAUUCUUCCAGUAGGGGUAGUCCGUUCCAUCGAAGGUAGGAUACCCAACAGAGACCUUGAUCAUACCUGCGGUCGACAUAACUAAAACUCCAGGCAGUUAAACCAAAAUCACACAGAACAAGGGAGUACUUUGCUCUGAUACCAAUUGAAAGUGUGUUAUAUCGACUAGAGGGGGGGGGGGUGAAUAGGCGAUUUUUAUGAAUUCUUCGAUGAUGAAUUUGCUGGUGAGGAAAUUCCUAAAUGAAGAACUACUUGUAGCGGAAUAAGUACUCAAAAUUAAACAUAGCAGAAUACACACAUAGUCAUCAUGAUGAAAUGAAGACCAACACAGAAUACAGAAAGCGUAAGCACAUGAUAACACAAGAUGAAGACUAAUAGACUGAAGAAAUUGAACUGAGGAUAUUGAGAAAGUCUUCAGACAAAGUUUUCAAACAGAUAUGAACAAGCACACAACAACAGUAAUGAGGAAAUGAAAGAGUUGAGGAAAUAGAACCAGUAAGCUUGGUAAAGACAAUGAUUUGGUAGACCAGUUCCAACUGCUGUCUCAGUUGUACAUCUGGUUGAAGCCGCUGAGUAUUUAAACUCGAGGACACACAGUCCCGGACACACAAUCCUCACCAUAUUCUCCUUGAGCUAAAGUCACACAGACCUCGCCCAAUCACUCGUGGUAAGUCUUCAGGUGACUUCCGGACCUUCACAAACUUGGUCACUCGGCGAUCCACAAUUCCUCUUGGAUGCUCUAGACCUUGACGCCUAACCGUCUGGAAGAAGCACAAUCUUCAAAGGUAACAAGCGUCGGAUCCACGCAGGAUCAAUAUCUUCAGUGAUGCUCAAUCACUUUGGGGUUUUGAAGAUUUGGGUUUGGGUUUUCCUCACUUGACGAUUUUCGCUCAAAGUCCUCAGAGGAUGGGAUGCUCUCAAAUGACAAGUGUCUGUUUCUCUCGGAGCAUCCAACCAACUAGUGGUAUUAGGGGGCGGCUAUUUAUAGCCUAGGGAGCAGACCGACAUGAUAAUACAUAAAUGCCCUUGUCUGAUAUGACCGUUAGGUGGGUAGAUAUUUUGGGAUAGUUGGCGCGUAGCACAACAACGGUCGGAAUUUUGAGUCUUAAAUUCCUCAGGGCUAUCAUGUUCCUCACUGUGUAGGCAAUCCGCACUGGCGAAUUCCUAACUCGUCAGUCAGAACAAAUUCCUCAGAGACCAGAAGAACUUCGUCUCUUUCACUGAAGAAUAUGACUGAACUGUAUGAGAUUUCUAAUGGCUUAACUCGAAGGGAUUGGUAGGUGUAGGAUUUUGAGUUGAGCAUCACAUGGAAAAUUUUCCUUAGUAUUUCCCCGACCCCCUUUAACAGUACGGUGUUUCCUAUGACUCAAGAAAGAGAAAAUAAAACUAUAAAAACAAAAGUCUUCAAGCUUCAUGUUCCUCAAAUGAUUGCCAAGUCUUCAAGGUCACACCAUUUUCUUCACUUUCAAAGUCUUAAGAAAGUCUUCAAAAAUCCAAAGUUUUCAGUUGAAGAACUUUAUUUUUAGCGGUCGACUUUCUCUGUAAAUAUCAAACUCCUCAUAGACUUAUAGACCUGUGUACACUCACAAACGCAUCAGUCCCUUAACCUAUAAGUCUUCAAUACACCAAAAUCACUAAGGGGCACUAGAUGCACUUACAGCUCCAGUUCCACGGUGCACAAUGUUUAGUACCACCUCGCCGAGCGAAGGGCAGCCGCACUGGUUUAUAAACCCAGCCGCGGCUGCUCCUUCAAGCUCCUCUCUAGUGCAGGCCUCUGGGCCUAACCUUGCCGCGCUGCCCUGUGAGCCUACUGGGCCUUAUGGGCCUGCAUAGCCCCGUCCAAGGCUGAGCAGGCCCACUGGGCAGCGCGGAAAUAAUUUUUUUAUUUUGUGGUUUAUAUAUUUUCUUCUAUUUAUUUCUGAGUAGUUUUUUGCUGUAUUUAGAGUUUCUUUGUGAAUAUUUUUGCUUUAGGUACAAAAAAUUUAAAUAGUUUAAAUUUGAAUUAUUUGAAAUUUGUGUGAAUCACUAGUUUUUGAAUAACUUAACUUUAAAAAUAGAUUUUUCAGAGUUUAUUUUGUAGUGCUUUUCAAUUUUACGGUCAUUUUGCUCUCAAAACAAAUCAGUAAAUGCAUCAAAAAUAGCAAAUUAUAUCAGAAAGGGUUGAAAGUUGAUGACGUGGAUUUGAAUUGUUCAUAUGAACGCAAAAAAGUUUGGAGUUGUAAUAAGUUAUUAAAAUAUUGAAUAGCCUGUGUAAUAGAUGAGUUUUCGUCCGAAACCCUGAUACUUCGAAAGAGAUUGUCCAGUUUGUACACGAAGUGCAUCCAGUUUUUGCCGUAACCCUCUCUACUUUUUUGCACAUGCCAUGCGGGUGAAAUGAUGAUACCUUGCCAAGUUUCAACCUUUUCAGAGUUCAUUUUGUAGUGCUUUUCAAUUUCACGGUCAUUUAGCUCUCUAAACUAAUCAGUAAAUGCAUCGAAAAUAGCAAAUUAUGUCAGAAAGGGUUGAAAGUUGAUGACGUGGAUUUGAAUUGUGCAUUUGAACACAAAAAAAGUCCGGAGUUGUAAUAAGUUAUUAAAAUAUUGAAUAACCGGUCUAACAGAUGAGUUUUCGUCCGAAACCUUGAUACUUCGAAAGAGAUUGUCCAGUUUGUACACAAAGUGCAUCCAGUUUUUGCCGUAACCCUCUCUACUUUUUUGCACAUUCUAUGCAGGUGAAAUGAUGAUACCUUGCCAAGUUUCAACCUUUUCAGAGUUCAUUUUGUAGUGUUUUUCAAUUUCACGGUCAUUAGCUCUCAAAACAAAUCACUAAAUGCAUCGAACAUAGCAAAUUAUGUCAGAAAGGGUUGAAAGUUGAUGACCUGGAUUUGAAUUGUGCAUCUGAACGCAAAAAAAGUCCGGAGUUGUAAUAAGUUAUUAAAAUUGUGUAAACAUGUAAAAAUAUACAUAAAAAUACAUUGAUCGGUACCUCCUUUCAACCAAAACGCGCUACUGCUACAGAGAAAUACAUCAAAAAUACAUUGAUUAUCAAUGAUCUUUUUGUGUACAAUCUGAAUUGUCAAUAUAAGUCCUCACCGGUUUAGAAACCGGAGAAGACUCAUAUUGUUGCCACAAAUUCUACACAUAGAGUUCAAUGAAGACCAAGUGGUUGUGAUAGUUUGAGAAGUAACAUAUUUAAGGUGGUAAAAACUCUGUUAGCGGAGCGAUGUGGGACUAAAAAACCGCUGCAGAAUGAAUCAACUAGAAACCUCCAGUACCGGUUUGUGGCACGAACCGGUAAUAAAGGUGCAGGUGGGGCCCCAGCCUGACCACAGCCUGCAAUAACCUCUUUAGUACCGGUUCAUGGCACGAACCGGUAUUAAAGGUUCGCCACUAACCGAUACUAAUGAUCUCCGCCCCCUAGCCGUUGGGACCGGCACUAAUGAUCAUAUUACUGCCGGUUUUGUUACAAACCAGGACUAAUGUGCUUCACAUUAGGCCCUUUUUCUACUAGUGGUGAAAUCACAGUGAUCAUGCCUUCUAUGUGAAAAAUAAAAAUAAGGCAAGGUCGGUUACUUUAAUAUGAGGCACAAGUCCGCCGAAUAUUCAGUUUCAUCGGGCUCUGAUUGUGGAUAAGUGGACUGCUUGGCUACAUUCGGUACAUUGUUCGAUGUCGAUCAACUGAUUUUGCAGGAAUCUAAUGUAUUCCUCUAGAAGUUGCAUUAUUGUGGUGUUCUCCAUAAAAUCCAUGCAUGCUGAUCUUAUCAACGCUGGGGUUGCUUUCCGCAUGAAGUAUACUUGGAAGAUUAGAGCACCCUUGAAGAUAAAAGGUUUUCAUACGCUAUCUUAACCAUGAGGUGAUCUUAACAAAUGAUAACUCGGCAAAGUGCAAAAUGGCAGGAAUGCAAACUAAAUGUUAUUUCUAAGACUUGAGGAAACGAUUCAUUGUCCUUCCUUCCAUGUUAGUUUAGUACUUUUAUUUGGCGUAACAAUACACAUAACUUUUAAUUUGCCCCAUCCCCUCCUCCACCCACUAGCAUUACAAAUUUGUUUUGACACUGGUUGGUCAGGGUUCACCCCAAAUUGAUGGCACAAAUCAAUCACCAUGUUGAUGGGUUAUUAUUGUCUUUAUUUCUUCCUAGCCCUUGUCUGGUGUAAAUGCAUAUAUAAACUACUAGCUCUCAUCCACAGUGGUUUCCAGUUAUCAACUAGCUAACCAGAAUAUCUCUUGUGCACCAUUGUUUAUUGUAGUGGUCAGUAGGCGGACUAAAGGAAGUUAUAUGUAUGGGUUGUUUAUCUCAGUUGAGUAAGCCGCUAUGGAUACAUCAUUCCUCAGUAGUCAGGAUAAUUUGCCUAAUUUUAUUCUAUUAAACCACACACCAUCACAAAAUAUUAGAUAUGGGAAGCAUUAGGAAUAUUUAAGCUUGUGGCUACAUAUGGAGCCACACUGCUUAGCAAGAACGGUGUGGACAAGAGAUUCUAGAAUCAAGCGUAUCAAAGUCGUGAUGUCUAAGACAUGCUACUGGCCUGACUUGGUGGAUGCACGACCCUGGCUUACUGAUGUGAGGGAGAGCACAUACUAUUUUCCCUUCUCUGCUACCAGAACAUUUGGAAGCGCCGGUAGCGUUUCUCAAGCAACGCCUUAACCUGUAGUUGUUUCUCCAGAUGUGUCAGGAGGAGGCAUGUGCCUAGCGCGUUCGCCUUCCCCCUGAGCAUGAAGAUCACGCUAAUGCCCGACUUUCUUCUCUUGCCUUUUUGCUAGGUUGCCACGUUGUUCUAGCAUCUUCGAACUGCUCACUGUAACCUACCUUCUGGUUUCCUCCUUUAAAUUUGUGACCAUUCUGUCCCUUCCAUAUUAAUCACUAACUGUGUGUGGUCUUUGGAAAAACUUCUUAGCUUGCUUGUUCUCUGCUGAAUCAGUUCAUCAAACUAUCGAGUCAACUCGUGGGACGAGUUGUCAGCUACUUUUAUGUUUUAGAUGAUUUUUCUUUCAAGAGAAGUUCUCCACAAAAUAUAUUGGUGUUUUAUGCUGUCUCAUAGUGCUAAGUAAAGGAUACCAAAAGGAUGUCUAGCUAGUUUUAGUUUCCUAUGUUUUCUUUGGCGAAUAGGUGCCUAUGUUAGUCUCAAGCAGUCCAGUACACUACCAAACUUGGCCAACAUCACUGCAUUUCACAACUUUGAGAAGACCCUGGUGAAAUGCAGCUGGUCACCCGACAAUCGCAAGGUCAAUGGCUCAAUGAUGGGACCUGGGAGUGCUGAUGGCAUGGUCUACAUCUGGGACACAACAUCGAGGCGGAUCCUGUACAAGCUUCCUGGGCACAAUGGUUCCGUCAAUGAGACCGCUUUCCACCCCACCGAGCCUAUCAUUGGAUCUUGUG
rnacentral:lncRNA from 1 species